rnacentral:rRNA from 1 species
GUGUCAGCCGCCGCGGUAAUACGGAGGUUGCGAGCGUUGUUCGGAAUGACUGGGCGUAAAGGGAGCGCAGGCGGUUCGGUUUGUCCGGCGUGAAAGCCCGGGGCUCAACCCCGGCGGGCCGUCGGAAACGGCCGAACUCGAGUACGGAAGAGGAGAGCGGAAUUCCAGGUGUAGCGGUGAAAUGCGUAGAUAUCUGGAGGAACACCGGUGGCGAAAGCGGCUCUCUGGUCCGAUACUGACGCUCAGGCUCGAAAGCGUGGGGAGCAAACGGGAUUAGAUACCCCGGUAGUCCACGCCGUAAACGUUGUGCGCUAGGUGUAGGCGGUAUCGACCCCGCCUGUGCCGCAGCUAACGCAUUAAGCGCACCGCCUGGGGAGUACGCCCGCAAGGGUGAA